GACGAACGCUGGCGGCGUGCUUAACACAUGCAAGUCGAGCGGUAAGGCCUUUCGGGGUACACGAGCGGCGAACGGGUGAGUAGCACGUGGGUGAUCUGCCCUGCACUUCGGGAUAAGCCUGGGAAACUGGGUCUAAUACCGGAUAUGACCUCCUAUCGCAUGGUGGGUGGUGGAAAGAUUUAUCGGUGCAGGAUGGGCCCGCGGCCUAUCAGCUUGUUGGUGGGGUAAUGGCCUACCAAGGCGACGACGGGUAGCCGACCUGAGAGGGUGACCGGCCACACUGGGACUGAGACACGGCCCAGACUCCUACGGGAGGCAGCAGUGGGGAAUAUUGCACAAUGGGCGAAAGCCUGAUGCAGCGACGCCGCGUGAGGGAUGACGGCCUUCGGGUUGUAAACCUCUUUCAGCAGGGACGAAGCGCAAGUGACGGUACCUGCAGAAGAAGCACCGGCUAACUACGUG
rnacentral:rRNA from 1 species